UUCCGGUCCCAGAGUUUCAUAAUUCAGACGAUUUGCACAGACAGCACAGGGACAUUUUGGUGGAUACUAAGGUUUUGACUAUUCAUCUAAAGAGAGAAGCUAUCUUCUUUGCAUCUACCUUGGUGAGGAUGAGGGAUGCCUAGUGAAAGAGUACAUGGUCUGACGCCAGGCGGAACUGAGUUUGCCUGGAGCAGAGAGAUGGAGAAACGGGGAGACCGAGAUACCGGAAACUGUAUAGGAGUGUACAGUCAUGUCUAUUGGCACGAGUUAACGGAUUUAUCACCGUGUGAAGAGGAAGAGGGAGAGAUUUACUAUGAGUUCUCAAGCUUGCCAGCACCGAGGAACCUGGUCUGACCAAUUUUCAGCACCCUUUACUAAAAUAUGGAGCGUUUCUUCAGAGCUGCUGAUUUGGAUUCAGUGUUUUCAGAGAGGUUGAAGUGACAACACGGAGUUGAAAGCUGUUCUGGGAUCAGUGUGUGCUGCAGAGCUGAAUUUGAAGUGUGAGGAGAAAUUUCGACAUGGCUCAAGCCUGUCUGAUGUACGGUAAAGGGUUUACGACAGGAAUGACUCGGCUGUACAUUCAAACACUCGGCUUCACCUCCAUUUGUAGAUAACCAAGUUAGCAUGCGCGUAAAUAAUCAUCGUAGCUGUGGCGCUUCAGACCUGUAAGCUCUAAACUGGCCGAGUGUGUCAGAGUGUGUGUUAUGUAGUGAUUUCACUGCAGGCUUGGGUUCCACGGUGAGUGUGUUUAGCACAGCAUAACAGCCUUUUCAUUUCACUUGAUGCGUUUGACUCAAUAAAGCUCAGA
ensembl:lncRNA